rnacentral:rRNA from 1 species
CGGAGGGUGCGAGCGUUGUCCGGAAUCAUUGGGCGUAAAGGGCGCGUAGGUGGCCCGCUAAGCGUGCGGUGAAAGCUCGGGGCUCAACCCCGAGUCGGCCGUGCGAACUGGUGGGCUUGAGCACUGUAGAGGCAGGCGGAAUUCCGGGUGUAGCGGUGGAAUGCGUAGAGAUCCGGAAGAACACCGGUGGCGAAGGCGGCCUGCUGGGCAGUAGCUGACACUGAGGCGCGACAGCGUGGGGAGCAAACAGGAUUAGAUACCCUGGUAGUCCACGCCGUAAACGAUGGGCACUAGGCGCUUGGGGGAGCGACCCCCCGAGGGCCGGCGCUAACGCAUUAAGUGCCCCGCCUGGGGAGUACGGCCGCAAGGCUG